rnacentral:pre_miRNA from 1 species
GGCUCUGGCAUCCUCCCGGGGGCCUGAGUCCUGCAUGCUGGAGAAUUUGCCCAUGUCCCCGGGCCCAUGGUCAGGAGGGGAGGGACGGGGGCUGCAGCAGUCCAGCCCUCUCUUGGUCCCAUGGAGGGGCAGGGA